CAAUCCGCUCACAGCCAUGCAGAUUAAGACGAAUUUAGAUCGACAUUAUUUUGAUAACAAUGAAAACUCAAAUGCUUGAAACGAAAUGAGUGGAGUUGAACGACGCCUGUUUAUCGAAACUACAUCAAUCAACUUUUCAACUAUGCAGGAUUUCAAAAUGUACAAGGCAUCAUAUCAAAGAUUGCAUAUGCCCGAAAGAAGGACAAAUCCAAUUUGGCUCUCUGGAUGUAUGGAAAGCUCUCAACCUUCCAGAAAAGGACUGUUCAAAGGAACACUUAAAUCCCUCCGACAGGCCCUCUGGUGGUGACGUAUAAGUGCUUUCUCAGUACUUUCUCUCGCUUUUGGACAAAUCCAAGUGCUGUAUCUGUACCCGAAUAGAAAUAAAGGAUUUUAAUGACACAGUUUUCUUCCGCUCUGAAAGUGAACGAAUUACAAAACAGUCUAGAGAAUUCCUCGCCCUGCUGCAGAAGAUCAAUCCUGGGUUGUGCUCACCAAAGCAAACCUCUUUUUUUGUGUAUUCAGUGUCUUAACUAUGUAAAAGACAACUA